rnacentral:misc_RNA from 1 species
GCGGAGGAAAAGAAACCAACAGGGAUUGCCUCAGUAACGGCGAGUGAAGCGGCAACAGCUCAAAUUUGAAAUCUGGCCCCCUCGGGGUCCGAGUUGUAAUUUGUAGAAGAUGCUUCGGGUGUGGCCCCGGUCUAAGUUCCUUGGAACAGGACGUCACAGAGGGUGAGAAUCCCGUAUGUGACCGGUGGCCUCCCCCGUGUGAAGCUCUUUCGACGAGUCGAGUUGUUUGGGAAUGCAGCUCAAAAUGGGUGGUAAAUUUCAUCUAAAGCUAAAUAUUGGCCAGAGACCGAUAGCGCACAAGUAGAGUGAUCGAAAGAUGAAAAGCACUUUGGAAAGAGGGUUAAACAGUACGUGAAAUUGUUGAAAGGGAAGCGCUUGCAACCAGACUUGCGCGCGGUCGAUCAUCCGGGGUUCUCCCCGGUGCACUCGGCCGUGCGCAGGCCAGCAUCGGUUUGGGCGGCCGGACAAAGGCCUCGGGAAUGUGGCUCCUUCGGGAGUGUUAUAGCCCGAGGUGCAAUGCGGCCAGCCCGGACCGAGGACCGCGCUUCGGCUAGGAUGCUGGCGUAAUGGUUGUAAGCGGCCCGUCUUGAAACACGGACCAAGGAGUCUAACAUCUAUGCGAGUGUUUGGGUGGCAAACCCAUCCGCGUAAUGAAAGUGAACGGAGGUGAGAACCCUUAAGGGCGCAUCAUCGACCGAUCCUGAUGUCUUCGGAUGGAUUUGAGUAAGAGCAUAGCUGUUGGGACCCGAAAGAUGGUGAACUAUGCCUGAAUAGGGUGAAGCCAGAGGAAACUCUGGUGGAGGCUCGCAGCGGUUCUGACG